UACGUAGGGGGCAAGCGUUGUCCGGAUUUAUUGGGCGUAAAGAGCGUGUAGGCGGCCAUACAGGUCAGCUGUGAAAACUCGAGGCUCAACCUCGAGACGUCGGUUGAAACCGUACGGCUAGAGUCCGGAAGAGGAGAGUGGAAUUCCCGGUGUAGCGGUGAAAUGCGCAGAUAUCGGGAGGAAUACCAGUGGCGAAGGCGGCCUUCUGGACGGAUACUGACGCUGAGGCGCGAAAGCCAGGGGAGCAAAGCGGG
rnacentral:rRNA from 1 species